CACGUAUGGUGCAAGCGUUAUCCGGAUUUACUGGGCGUAAAGGGAGCGCAGGCGGCGCGCCAAGUCUGAUGUGAAACCCCGGGGCUCAACCCCGGGCAUGCAUUGGAAACUGGCGGGCUGGAGUGCCGGAGAGGUAAGCGGAAUUCCUAGUGUAGCGGUGAAAUGCGUAGAUAUUAGGAGGAACACCAGUGGCGAAGGCGGCUUACUGGACGGCAACUGACGCUGAGGCUCGAAAGCGUGGGGAGCAAGCAGG
rnacentral:rRNA from 1 species